UACGAACGCUGGCGGCGUGCUUAACACAUGCAAGUCGAGCGAUGAAGCUGGAGCUUGCUCUAGCGGAUUAGUGGCGAACGGGUGAGUAACACGUGAGCAAUCUGCCCUUGACCCUGGGAUAACUGCGGGAAACUGUAGCUAAUACCGGAUACGAGACCUAGAGGCAUCUCUGAGUCUGGAAAGAAUUUCGGUCAAGGAUGAGCUCGCGGCCUAUCAGCUAGUUGGUGAGGUAAUGGCUCACCAAGGUGACGACGGGUAGCCGGCCUGAGAGGGUGACCGGCCACACUGGGACUGAGACACGGCCCAGACUCCUACGGGAGGCAGCAGUGGGGAAUAUUGCACAAUGGGCGAAAGCCUGAUGCAGCAACGCCGCGUGAGGGAUGAAGGCCUUCGGGUUGUAAACCUCUUUUAGCAGGGAAGAAGCGAAAGUGACGGUACCUGCAGAAAAAGCACCGGCUAACUACGUGCCAGCAGCCGCAGUAA
rnacentral:rRNA from 1 species